AUUGAACGCUGGCGGCAGGCCUAACACAUGCAAGUCGAGCGGUAGCACAGAGAGCUUGCUCUCGGGUGACGAGCGGCGGACGGGUGAGUAAUGUCUGGGAAACUGCCUGAUGGAGGGGGAUAACUACUGGAAACGGUAGCUAAUACCGCAUAACGUCGCAAGACCAAAGUGGGGGACCUUCGGGCCUCAUGCCAUCAGAUGUGCCCAGAUGGGAUUAGCUGGUAGGUGGGGUAGCGGCUCACCUAGGCGACGAUCCCUAGCUGGUCUGAGAGGAUGACCAGCCACACUGGAACUGAGACACGGUCCAGACUCCUACGGGAGGCAGCAGUGGGGAAUAUUGCACAAUGGGCGCAAGCCUGAUGCAGCCAUGCCGCGUGUGUGAAGAAGGCCUUCGGGUUGUAAAGCACUUUCAGCGGGGAGGAAGGCAUUAAGGUUAAUAACCUUAGUGAUUGACGUUACCCGCAGAAGAAGCACCGGCUAACUCCGUGCCAGCAGCCGCCGUAA
rnacentral:rRNA from 1 species